rnacentral:rRNA from 1 species
CAUGGCUCAGGAUGAACGCUGGCGGCGUGCCUAAUACAUGCAAGUCGAGCGAAUGGAUUAAGAGCUUGCUCUUAUGAAGUUAGCGGCGGACGGGUGAGUAACACGUGGGUAACCUGCCCAUAAGACUGGGAUAACUCCGGGAAACCGGGGCUAAUACCGGAUAACAUUUUGAACCGCAUGGUUCGAAAUUGAAAGGCGGCUUCGGCUGUCACUUAUGGAUGGACCCGCGUCGCAUUAGCUAGUUGGUGAGGUAACGGCUCACCAAGGCAACGAUGCGUAGCCGACCUGAGAGGGUGAUCGGCCACACUGGGACUGAGACACGGCCCAGACUCCUACGGGAGGCAGCAGUAGGGAAUCUUCCGCAAUGGACGAAAGUCUGACGGAGCAACGCCGCGUGAGUGAUGAAGGCUUUCGGGUCGUAAAACUCUGUGUUAGGGAAGAACAAGUGCUAGUUGAAUAAGCUGGCACCUGACGUCC